rnacentral:lncRNA from 10 species
ACUCCUGCAUGAAGGCUUCUGGAGAAGUAGGAAGGCUUAGAAUGUCGCUCACUCAUCUUUCACUUCCUGUAGCAACUGUUUCGUGCUCUUAAGUCUGGUGCGUCCAUGUCUGUCUGCACCUGGAUGGCAUCGCCUCUCCAUCUCGAGGACGCCAUCUGGAGGGGUUAAAAUGAAGCGAUUCAGUCAAGAUACGUGUGGCGCACAUGAUCCUGCAGAGGUGGAAGCCCACGCCAAGAUAUUCUGGCAGCACCUACCCUGACUUCCAUAUUACACAGAAAGUUGUCAGCCUGGGUGAAGAAGGAACCAGGGCACCCAACUCAUCUGACUGAAAAACAAAACACCACAAGAGGAAUCCCAAGACCUAACCAAAAGAUAAUCUAGACUAUGGUAACAGAAGGAAUUCAGCGUUAAUGCCCUUGAAUUAAGAGUUUCCUCCAGAGAAUAGAGAUACAAAUAAUGACUAUGAAUGACCAUUAAGCCUUAAUGUGCAUAUAAGAAGCACUUGGACUACAAGCUCUUACCAAUUGCUCCCUUUUUGCAGAUAAAGACACAGAGUGCUUCCUGAGAAGUCACACACAGGCAGUGGUAGAGCCAGGUUUAAAUUCAGACCCUGUGUGUCCCCAGAAAAUCAGGUUUUUUGGACUCAUACUGCCUCAUAACUAGACAUUAUGGCUCUUGGUAGUCUGUUUUUUUAUUUUUAUUUUUGAGACAAGAGUUUCACUCUGUCACCCCAGGCAUCGUGCAGUGGCAUGAUCUCAGCUCACUGCAACCUCCGCCUCCUGGGUUCAAGCGAUUCUCCUGCCUCAGCCUCCCGAGUAGCCGGAAUUACAGGCAUGCACCACCACGCCCAGCUAAUUUUUAUAUUUUUAGUAGAGACGGGGUUUCACCAUGUUGGCCAGGCUGGUCGCGAACUCCUGACCUCAAGUGAUCCUCCCGCCUCGGCCUCCCAAAGUGCUGGGAUUACAGGUGUGAGCCACCUUGCCUGACCAAUAGCCUGUGUUUUUGUUUGGGGUUCAUGCGUGACAGAAACAUAAGGAAAGGACGG